rnacentral:rRNA from 1 species
GACGAACGCUGGCGGCGUGCUUAACACAUGCAAGUCGAACGGAAAGGCCCUGCUUUUGUGGGGUGCUCGAGUGGCGAACGGGUGAGUAACACGUGAGUAACCUGCCCUUGACUUUGGGAUAACUUCAGGAAACUGGGGCUAAUACCGGAUAGGAGCUCCUGCUGCAUGGUGGGGGUUGGAAAGUUUCGGCGGUUGGGGAUGGACUCGCGGCUUAUCAGCUUGUUGGUGGGGUAGUGGCUUACCAAGGCUUUGACGGGUAGCCGGCCUGAGAGGGUGACCGGCCACAUUGGGACUGAGAUACGGCCCAGACUCCUAAGGGAGGCAGCAGUGGGGAAUAUUGCACAAUGGGCGGAAGCCUGAUGCAGAAACGCCGCGUGCGGGAUGACGGCCUUAGGGUUGUAAACCGCUUUCGCCUGUGACGAAGCGUGAGUGACGGUAAUGGGUAAAGAAGCACCGGCUAAAUACGUG